UAGAGUUUGAUCAUGGCUCAGAGUGAACGCUGGCGGCGUGGAUUAGGCAUGCAAGUCGAGCGAUCCAGUACUAGUUUUGUUGUGGCCUUAAAAACUACGGCAGAAUGAAUGCUGGAUAGCGGCAAACGGGUGAGUAACACGUGAGCAAUCCACCAAUAAGUGUGGCAUAGCCUCAUGAAAGUGGGGGUAAUUCCGCAUGUGACCAUAGUGCGGCAUCGCGUUAUGGUUAAAACAGGGGACCGUAAGGCCUUGUGCUUAUUGAGGAGCUCGCGCUCUAUCAGCUUGUUGGUAGGGUAACGGCCUACCAAGGCGAAGACGGAUAGCUGGUCUGAGAGGACGGUUAGCCACACUGGGACUGAGACACUGCCCAGACUCCUACGGGAGGCUGCAGUCGAGAAUCUUUAGCAAUGGGCGAAAGCCUGACUAUGCGACGCCGCGUGAGGGAUGAAGGCCUUCGGGUUGUAAACCUCUUUCGAUUGGGAAGAAAAUUCCGACGGUGAAUAACCGCCGGGACUGACGUUACCAAGAGAAGAAGCAACGGCCAACUCCGUGCCAGCAGCCGCGGUAAUAAUCGAAUCCCGCGGCCGCCAGGCGGCUCCGAGCAUGCGUCUUCGCCUAAU
rnacentral:rRNA from 1 species